rnacentral:rRNA from 1 species
UACGUAGGGAGCAAGCGUUGUCCGGAAUCAUUGGGCGUAAAGCGCGCGUAGGCGGCCCGAUAAGUCCGCUGUAAAAGUCAACGGCUCAACUGUUGAAAGCCGGUGGAUACUGUCGGGCUAGAGUACGGAAGAGGCAAGCGGAAUUCCACGUGUAGCGGUGAAAUGCGUAGAGAUGUGGAGGAACACCAGUGGCGAAGGCGGCUUUUUGGUCUGUAACUGACGCUGAGGCGCGAAAGCGUGGGGAGCAAACAGG